AGGAAUGAGGGAUGCUUUGUCUAGAAGCCAGGAACCCAGCUUAAUGAAGAAAGACCAGUCAGAUCCCUCCACAAAAGAAGGCUUCAAGAUACCUCAUCCUUAUUCUGAGAGGUUGGCAAAUCCCUCCUUUAGGGAGAGAGAACUGUUCUGUCUCAGAGAGACCUCUCCACAGAUUGUCACACCUGAAAAACAGGAGGAGCCUUAGAGCCCUUAAUCCCACAGAUGCUCCACCCCAAUGUACCAGAGCCUUAGCCUUCAGAGAUGUCUCCCUCCUGUCCUGAGACCACCAUGGAAACUAAACUCUUAGGCUGGCUGGCCAUUUGCCUCCUGGGAACAGGUUUGACAGAUUGCAGUGUUCUUCAAACCCCAAGAUACCUGGUCAAAGGCAUAGGAGAAGUAGCAAUAUUGAAAUGUAAUCAGGAUCAUAAUUAUGACGACAUGUACUGGUACCAACAUAAACCAGGACAGGAGCUAAAGCAACUUCUCCGUUACUUUAAGUUGACAGAUGUUACCAAAGAAAAGGACAUCUCUGAAAAUUUCCAAGUUGCCCGGCCAAACAUUAACUUCUGUUACCUUAACAUUAGUUCCUUGAGUUUGGAAGACUCAGCUACAUAUCUUUGUUCAGUCAGCUUACACAGUGCUGUAGAAGAACCUUAA